GACGAACGCUGGCGGCGUGCCUAAUACAUGCAAGUCGAGCGAAUCAAUAGGAGCUUGCUCCUGUUGGUUAGCGGCGGACGGGUGAGUAACACGUGGGCAACCUGCCUGUAAGACUGGGAUAACACCGGGAAACCGGUGCUAAUACCGGAUAAUCCUUUUCCUCUCAUGAGGAAAAGCUGAAAGUCGGUUUCGGCUGACACUUACAGAUGGGCCCGCGGCGAAUUAGCUAGUUGGUGAGGUAACGGCUCACCAAGGCGACGAUGCGUAGCCGACCUGAGAGAGUGAUCGGCCACACUGGGACUGAGACACGGCCCAGACUCCUACGGGAGGCAGCAGUAGGGAAUCUUCCACAAUGGACGAAAGUCUGAUGGAGCAACGCCGCGUGAGCGAUGAAGGCCUUCGGGUCGUAAAGCUCUGUUGUUAGGGAAGAACAAGUACCGGAGUAACUGCCGGUACCUUGACGGUACCUAACCAGAAAGCCACGGCUAACUACGUGCCAGCAGCCGCCGUAAAAC
rnacentral:rRNA from 1 species